ACGUAGGUGGCGAGCGUUAUCCGGAAUUAUUGGGCGUAAAGAGCGCGCAGGUGGUUGAUUAAGUCUGAUGUGAAAGCCCACGGCUUAACCGUGGAGGGUCAUUGGAAACUGGUCGACUUGAGUGCAGAAGAGGGAAGUGGAAUUCCAUGUGUAGCGGUGAAAUGCGUAGAGAUAUGGAGGAACACCAGUGGCGAAGGCGGCUUCCUGGUCUGUAACUGACACUGAGGCGCGAAAGCGUGGGGAGCAAACAGGAUUAGAUACCCUGGUAGUCCACGCCGUAAACGAUGAGUGCUAAGUGUUGGGGGUCGAACCUCAGUGCUGAAGUUAACGCAUUAAGCACUCCGCCUGGGGAGUACGGUCGCAAGACU
rnacentral:rRNA from 1 species